GAAGAACUGCUUCUGGGAAAUGGGAUAACCAAAAGUGUCGUGGAGGGUCUUGUGAUAAGAAAACGUACUACUGCAAACCGUGUAGAUUACAAAAAUGUCGAGACAUGGGAAUGGACACUACCAAAUUCCAAUUCAACCGAGACAACAUUCCCACCGCUGGUCAAUUCCAACUCCCUCCGCAAACUUUCGAAGCUUAUGUCGGACGGCCCGAAUUCCUGCUCUUCUGUGAUACCGAUGCUCCAAACUCCAAAGUCCUGAUAGACGUCAGAUACCUCCUUGAAGAAGCCGGCCGGCUAUUGAAUAAUGGGAUUAUCACACCAAUUUGGGCUGAAAAUCAACUGAAGAAGUUGACGCAAGGCUUUAAGCACAUUAAGCUGGAUACAGAUAACAUAAAGAAGGUUGAAACUGCGGAUCAGAAAGAGUUUAUGGAGAUGUGGGAGUACUAUUUUAUUACGGUGACAAAGUGGUUGAUGUACUUCGACGAGUUCCAGAAGUUGAACAGACAAAUUCAGAUGACAAUGCUCCAAGCAAUAUGGCAUGUGUUCAGCAAAUUGCACAAAUACGUGGCAACGUCCGCCUAUCAAAAAGCGACGCCACGUGCUAAACCAACAGAAGUCAUUAUAAAAGACGUUAUGAUGGACAUAGAAACUGUGAAUUUCGACUGUUCUUGGAUGAGCGAUUACCCAACAAAGGAUGUUUUUAAAUUUCUAUCCGCCCAGGCUUGCAAGGAAAUGGAUAUUGUUGGUACUCUCCACGAGCUGGAUCCUACUGACCUGGAAAUCACUUAUUUGUUUGCUCAACUUUGCUUCGAAUAUGUUGGCAAACGAUAUCAGGGUGAUAUUCUCAGAGUAGCCGAGCAGUUUCAAGAAAUUUUGGCGAAUGAUCUACAUCAUUAUUAUGUGGAAGAAAUGAACAGACCCAGAUACUUCCAAAGAUUGGCGAGACUCUUGAAAGUUAACAAUGCAAUUCAGAGAGCAAUCUGGGAGAGCCGCCCGAAAAUGGAGCUUGGUCGAGUGUUUAAUGUGCUGAAAAUUGAGUUCUCGCAUCCGGAAAUGUUCGAGGACUCUGGAUAUUAUUGAAGACAAUAACUUCUGUUCAAGAUUUUUUUCGUAAAUAUAAUUGUGUAUAUAAUUGUAAAAACAAUAAUGAAUCUUGAUGUAGUAAUUUUAAAA
rnacentral:misc_RNA from 1 species